rnacentral:rRNA from 1 species
UACGGAGGGGACUAGCGUUGUUCGGAAUUACUGGGCGUAAAGCGCACGUAGGCGGAUUUGUAAGUCAGGGGUGAAAUCCCGGGGCUCAACCCCGGAACUGCCUUUGAUACUGGGUAUCUGGAGGUCGAGAGAGGCGAGUGGAAUUCCGAGUGUAGAGGUGAAAUUCGUAGAUAUUCGGAGGAACACCAGUGGCGAAGGCGGCUCGCUGGCUCGAUACUGACGCUGAGGUGCGAAAGCGUGGGGAGCAAACAGG